UACGAAGGGGGCUAGCGUUGCUCGGAAUGACUGGGCGUAAAGGGCGCGUAGGCGGAUGGCACAGUCAGAUGUGAAAUUCCCGGGCUUAACCUGGGGGCUGCAUUUGAUACGUGUUGUCUAGAGUGAGGAAGAGGGUUGUGGAAUUCCCAGUGUAGAGGUGAAAUUCGUAGAUAUUGGGAAGAACACCGGUGGCGAAGGCGGCUCACUGGCUCGUAUCUGACGCUCAGGCGCGACAGCGUGGGGAUCAAACAGG
rnacentral:rRNA from 1 species